rnacentral:rRNA from 1 species
UACGGGGGGUGCGAGCGUUGUCCGGAAUCACUGGGCGUAAAGGGCGCGUAGGUGGCGUGAUAAGGGUGUGGUGAAAGCCCGGGGCUCAACCCCGGGUCGGCCAUGCCGACUGUCAGGCUAGAGUGCUGUAGGGGCAGGCGGAAUUCCGGGUGUAGCGGUGGAAUGCGUAGAGAUCCGGAGGAAGACCGGUGGCGAAGGCGGCCUGCUGGGCAGUUACUGACACUGAGGCGCGACAGCGUGGGGAGCGAACAGG